rnacentral:rRNA from 1 species
UGUGUCAGCAGCCGCGGUAAAACGUAGGAGGCGAGCGUUAUCCGGAUUUACUGGGUGUAAAGCGCGUGUAGGCGGUUUGCUAAGUUGGGUGUGAAAGCUCCUGGCUCAACUGGGAGAGGUCGCUCAAGACUGGUAGACUAGAGAGCAGUAGGGGAAGGUGGAAUUCCGGGUGUAGUGGUGAAAUGCGUAGAUAUCCGGAGGAACACCAGUGGCGAAGGCGGCCUUCUGGACUGCAUCUGACGCUCAGACGCGAAAGCUAGGGUAGCAAACGGGAUUAGAGACCCCGGUAGUCCUAGCCGUAAACGAUGUGAACUUGGCGCCGGGCGGGUAAAACCGAUCGGUGCCGGAGCUAACGCGAUAAGUUCACCACCUGGGGACUACGGCCGCAAGGUUAAAACUUAAAGGAAUUGGCGGGGGA